AUUGAACGCUGGCGGCAGGCUUAACACAUGCAAGUCGAGCGGAGAUGAGGUGCUUGCACCUUAUCUUAGCGGCGGACGGGUGAGUAAUGCUUAGGAAUCUGCCUAUUAGUGGGGGACAACAUUCCGAAAGGAAUGCUAAUACCGCAUACGUCCUACGGGAGAAAGCAGGGGAUCUUCGGACCUUGCGCUAAUAGAUGAGCCUAAGUCGGAUUAGCUAGUUGGUUGGGUAAAGGCCUACCAAGGCGACUAUCUGUAGCGGGUCUGAAAGGAUGAUCCGCCACACUGGGACUGAGACACGGCCCACACUCCUACGGGAGGCAGCAGUGGGGAAUAUUGGACGAUGGGGGGAACCCUGAUCCAGCCAUGCCGCGUGUGUGAAGAAGGCCUUAUGGUUGUAAAGCACUUUAAGCGAGGAGGAGGCUACUGAGACUAAUACUCUUGGAUAGUGGACGUUACUCGCAGAAUAAGCACCGGCUAACUCUGUGCCAGCAGCCGCGGUAAUACAGAGGGUGCGAGCGUUAAUCGGAUUUACUGGGCGUAAAGCGUGCGUAGGCGGCUUUUUAAGUCGGAUGUGAAAUCCCCGAGCUUAACUUGGGAAUUGCAUUCGAUACUGGGAA
rnacentral:rRNA from 1 species